rnacentral:rRNA from 1 species
CGGGUGAGUAAUGUCUGGGAAACUGCCUGAUGGAGGGGGAUAACUACUGGAAACGGUAGCUAAUACCGCAUAACGUCGCAAGACCAAAGAGGGGGACCUUCGGGCCUCUUGCCAUCGGAUGUGCCCAGAUGGGAUUAGCUUGUUGGUGGGGUAACGGCUCACCAAGGCGACGAUCCCUAGCUGGUCUGAGAGGAUGACCAGCCACACUGGAACUGAGACACGGUCCAGACUCCUACGGGAGGCAGCAGUGGGGAAUAUUGCACAAUGGGCGCAAGCCUGAUGCAGCCAUGCCGCGUGUAUGAAGAAGGCCUUCGGGUUGUAAAGUACUUUCAGCGGGGAGGAAGGGAGUAAAGUUAAUACCUUUGCUCAUUGACGUUACCCGCAGAAGAAGCACCGGCUAACUCCGUGCCAGCAGCCGCGGUAAUACGGAGGGUGCAAGCGUUAAUCGGAAUUACUGGGCGUAAAGCGCACGCAGGCGGUUUGUUAAGUCAGAUGUGAAAUCCCCGGGCUCAACCUGGGAACUGCAUCUGAUACUGGCAAGCUUGAGUCUCGUAGAGGGGGGUAGAAUUCCAGGUGUAGCGGUGAAAUGCGUAGAGAUCUGGAGGAAUACCGGUGGCGAAGGCGGCCCCCUGGACGAAGACUGACGCUCAGGUGCGAAAGCGUGGGGAGCAAACAGGAUU